rnacentral:rRNA from 1 species
GACGAACGCUGGCGGCGUGCUUAACACAUGCCAGUCGAACGGAAAGGCCUGCUUUCCCUUGUGGAUUGCGGGUGCUCGAGUGGCGAACGGGUGAGUAACACGUGAGUGAUCUGCCCCCAACUUGGGUAUAAGCCCGGGAAACUGGGUCUAAUUCCCGAUAGGACUGCAGGGUGGUGCCUGUGGUGGAAAACGAUUUUCUAGUGGUUGGGGAUGAGCUCGCGGCCUAUCAGCUUGUUGGUGGGGUAAUGGCCUACCAAGGCGGCGACGGGUAGCCGGCCUGGGAGGGUGGACGGCCACAUUGGGACUGAGAUACGGCCCAGACUCCUACGGGAGGCAGCAGUGGGGAAUAUUGCACAAUGGGCGGAAGCCUGAUGCAGCGACGCCGCGUGGGGGAUGACGGCCUUCGGGUUGUAAACUCCUUUCGACCGCGAGGAAGCCACCUGGUUGGAAGGGUGGUGACGGUAGUGGUAGAAGAAGCACCGGCUAACUACGUG